AAACCAGCCCUGCAGUCUGAUGAACGUUCUAGAGUAAGUGGACCCCAGAUGGACGCUCUGGCCACAGUUUGUAGAGAAUUUGGACCAGGCAAGCCUCACUCUUAGAGAAGAAAGAGAUGCAGACAGAAUCCAAGGCCUAUUGUUGCAUUCUCUGCUUGGGCCAGGCCCUGAGUUCAGGCCUUACCUUGACCUCCUCCUCCAGCUGCCUCUUGAGGUCCUCCAGCUGCUGGGUAUACGUGAGCUUGCCUCGGGUCAGCUGAGAGAUAAGAGCCUCCUUCUCAUCCAGCUGUCUGGACAGCUCCCCUGGGGAGGCAUCAAGCUUGGCCCGCUGGCUGGUGAGGUCAUUGACAGAACGCUGUGUCUCCUCAGCCUUGCUCCGGUGUUCAUUCAUCUGGUCCUCCAGGGUCCGGCACAUCUUCUCCAGGUUAGCCUGAGAGAGGAAGGAGUUACAGAGUAGGUUCAGGAAGGAACUAAAAUGGAGUAAGGAUUGCAAUGAAAGAGAAAACCAUGGACGGUAAGGGAGCACCCAGAUGAGCCGUCAAGGAAGAAAGAGGAUCGACACCGGAAGCAGAGGGAUCAGAGGAGGGAGCUGCUGAAAAGACCCACCUUGGCCUUGAUGAUCUGCUCCAUGUUGGAGAUGUGGCCCCACCGGCUUCCUCUAGCCUCUCACUGAUCUCCUCCAGCUCCCGGGACAGGUCUGAGCGCAGCUUCUCCAC
rnacentral:lncRNA from 1 species